rnacentral:rRNA from 1 species
UGGGGGAGAUUGCACAAUGGGCGAAAGCCUGAUGCAGCGACGCCGCGUGGGGGAUGAAGGCCUUCGGGUUGUAAACUUCUUGUGCUCUGAACAAGGCGCACCAUGGGGUGUGUUGAGUGUAGGGGUUGAUUAGCGCCGGCUAACUACGUGCCAGCAGCCGCGGUAAGACGUAGGGCGCGAGCGUUGUCCGGUAUUAUUGGGCGUAGAGGGCUUGUAGGUGGCUGGUUGCGUCUGUCGUGAAAGCUCAUGGCUUAACUGUGGGUUUGCGGUGGGUACGGGCUGGCUUGAGUGCAGUAGGGGAGGCUGGAAUUCCUGGUGUAGCGGUGGAAUGCGCAGAUAUCAGGAGGAAUACCGGUGGCGAAGGCGGGUCUCUGGGCUGUUACUGACACUGAGGAGCGAAAGCAUUAGGAGCGAACAGG